UGCGCAGAUGCCGCUAAUUUUCGCGCAUGCGCAGAUGCGGCUAAUUUUCGCGCAUGCGCAGAUGCCGCUAUUUUUCGCGCAUGCGCAGAUGCCGCUAAAUUUCGCGCAUGCGCAGAUGCCGCUAAAUUUCGCGCAUGCGCAUACCACAUUAUAUUAUAUUUAAUUGGUCUUGUGGGAACACACCCCUAGGUAUACAUUAACUAAAAGUGUUGCUCGCUUCUGGCUCGGGAUGCGGCUGUGCACUUGGGCUCGUGCAAUUCCACAGACGCUAUAACUGGAUUUUAUAAAGAUAAGAGAAAAGAAUGCUUUCGCCGUGGAUUUGACAUGAAAAGGCCCAGUUCCAAAAGACACAGCAUCCUCAGUGUCCUGGAGCUCCAGCUGAAGCACUGGCCACUCCACCUUCUCCAUCCCCAUCCAAAAGACCAGCAGCAGUGGAGGGUCCCAGGAUGUUGAGAUGGUAGUGCAGAUCGGUACUUCUAAGGCAGCUAGUUGAAGGCGUGAUUGAGGUCCAUGCCAGAGGGGUUCUGCACUGUGACCUCAAGCCAUAGAACAUCCUGGUUCAGAUGUACAGUUAGGAACCACGCCUUCAUCUUCUGUUCUUCUGGACCUUCCUCAUGAGUGGUUUACCCAUGAGGCCAAAUCCUCCACAGUGUUGCAGAUAGGAAUCAUCCUGCUGUGUGUGAGAGGUGACCCUUCAACACCAGCACGGAGAUCACCUCAAAGAAGUCUCAGAUCAUCUCUCCACCAUCUGCUCUACGACCCCUGGCUAAGUAUACACCACGACACAGCCACCACAUCAGGCACACCUCAGUCAGGUACCAUAUAAAACAAUUAAGGACUGUGUUUUUAUGAAAAUCUAUUUUCUCUGAGUUUUCUUUUUCACCACAGACGCUCCUCUGUGGGCACAGAGUGAGCUUAGCUAGCUCCCUCCAUACCUCCCUCCCUCCCGCGCGCGCAC